rnacentral:ncRNA from 2 species
CAUGAUUGCGCACCCUUUGGCCACUGGGAAACCGGGGAGAAUCGGGAAGCCGGUGAAAGUCCGGCACGGGCCCGCCGCGGUGAUCGGGGAGCCGCCGUCCACGCGCGUAGGCGCAGCCACUGGACCACGUGGUCUGGGAAGGCCGGGCGGGCAGGCGUU